GGGGGGAGAGGGGUGGCUAUAGGGAGUGAUGGCUAUAGGGCUGGGGGCUAUAGGGCUGGUUAUAGGGAGUGAUGGCUGUAGGGCUGGGGGCCAUAGGGAGUAAUGGUUAUAGGGAGAGGUGGCUAUAGGGCUGGAUGUAGGGAGUGGUGGUUAUAGGGGUGGGUAUAGGGGUGGAUGUAGGGAGCCAUGGCUUAUAGGGCUGGGGGCUAUAGGGCUGGCUAUAGGGAGCCAUGGCUAUAGGGCUGGGGGCUAUAGGGCUGGAUAUAGGGAGCCAUGGCUAUAGGGCUGGAUAUAGGGAACCAUGGCUAUAGGGCUGGCUAUAGGGAGCCAUGGCUAUAGGGCUGGGGGCUAUAGGGGAGGCUAUAGGGAGCCAUGACUAUAGGGCAGGCUAUAGGGAGCCAUGGCUAUAGGGCUGGCUAUAGGGAGCCAUGGCUGUAGGAGCCAUGGCUAUAGGGCUGGAUAUAGGGAGUGAUGGCUAUAGGGCUGGCUAUAGGGAGGCAUGGCUAUAGGGCUGGCUAUAGGGAGUGAUGGUUAUAGGGGUGGCGGCUAUAGGGCUGGAUGUAGGGAAUGAUGGCUAUAGGGCUGGCUAUAGGGAAUGAUGGCUAUAGGGCUGGCUAUAGGGCUGGAUAUAGGGAGCCGUGGCUAUAGGGGUAGCGGCUAUAGGGCUGGCUAUAAGGGGUGAUGGCUAUAGGGCUGGCUAUAGGGAGCCGUGGCUAUAGGGCUGGCGGCUAUAGGGCUGGCUAUAGGGGCCCUCUAUGGGGCAGGGGCUGUUGGUGGGCCCUCCACCAUCCUCCGCACAGCCACCGCGGUCCCUGCGCGCUCCUGCCGCC